AGUGAACGCUGGCGGUAGGCCUAACACAUGCAAGUCGAACGGCAGCACAGUAAGAGCUUGCUCUUACGGGUGGCGAGUGGCGGACGGGUGAGGAAUACAUCGGAAUCUACUUUUUCGUGGGGGAUAACGUAGGGAAACUUACGCUAAUACCGCAUACGAACUACGGGUGAAAGCAGGGGAUCUUCGGACCUUGCGCGAUUGAAUGAGCCGAUGUCGGAUUAGCUAGUUGGCGGGGUAAAGGCCCACCAAGGCGACGAACCGUAGCUGGGCUGAGAUGAGGAUCAGCCACACUGGAACUGAGACACGGUCCAGACUCCUACGGGAGGCAGCAGUGGGGAAUAUUAGACAAGGGGAGCAAGCCUGAUCCAGCCAUACCGCGUGGAUGAAGAAGUCCUUCGGGUUGUAAAGCCCUUUUGUUGGGAAAGAAAAGCAGCAGGUUAAUACCCCGCUGUUCUGACGGUACCCAAAGAAUAAGCACCGGCUAACUUCGUG
rnacentral:rRNA from 1 species